rnacentral:tRNA from 1 species
AAGAAGGUGACAGAGUGGUUAUGUAUCUGGUUUGAAGUCAGAAUAUGGAGGUUCAAUUCCUUCCUUUCUCG